CCUACGGGUGGCAGCAGUAGGGAAUAUUGCUCAAUGGGGGAAACCCUGAAGCAGCAACGCCGCGUGGAGGAUGAAGGUUUUCGGAUUGUAAACUCCUUUUGUUAAAGAAGAUAAUGACGGUAUUAAACGAAUAAGCACCGGCUAACUCCGUGACAGCAGCCGCGGGAAUACGGAGGGUGCAAGCGUUACUCGGAAUCACGGGGCGUAAAGAGCGCGUAGGCGGGAUAGCAAGUCAGAUGUGAAAUCCUAUGGCUUAACCAUAGAACUGCAUUUGAAACUGUCAUUCUAGAGUAUGGGAGAGGUAGGUGGAAUUCUUGGUGUAGGGGUAAAAUCCGUAGAGAUCAAGAGGAAUACUCAUUGCGAAGGCGACCUGCUAGAACAUAACUGACGCUGAUGCGCGAAAGCGUGGGGAGCAAACAGGAUUAGAUACCCUGGUAGUC
rnacentral:rRNA from 1 species